AUUGAACGCUGGCGGCAGGCCUAACACAUGCAAGUCGAGCGGAUGAAGGGAGCUUGCUCCUGGAUUCAGCGGCGGACGGGUGAGUAAUGCCUAGGAAUCUGCCUGGUAGUGGGGGAUAACGUCCGGAAACGGGCGCUAAUACCGCAUACGUCCUGAGGGAGAAAGUGGGGGAUCUUCGGACCUCACGCUAUCAGAUGAGCCUAGGUCGGAUUAGCUAGUUGGUGGGGUAAAGGCCUACCAAGGCGACGAUCCGUAACUGGUCUGAGAGGAUGAUCAGUCACACUGGAACUGAGACACGGUCCAGACUCCUACGGGAGGCAGCAGUCGGGAAUAUUGGACGAUGGGCGAAAGCCUGAUCCAGCCAUGCCGCGUGUGUGAAGAAGGUCUUCGGAUUGUAAAGCACUUUAAGUUGGGAGGAAGGGCAGUAAGUUAAUACCUUGCUGUUUUGACGUUACCAACAGAAUAAGCACCGGCUAACUUCGUG
rnacentral:rRNA from 1 species